rnacentral:rRNA from 1 species
UACGGAGGAUGCAAGCGUUAUCCGGAAUUAUUGGGCGUAAAGCGCGCGUAGGCGGCUACUUAAGUCGGAUGUGAAAGCCCCUGGCUCAACUGGGGAAGUGCACCCGAAACUGAGUGGCUUGAGUGCGAAAGAGGGUCGCGGAAUUCCCGGUGUAGAGGUGAAAUUCGUAGAUAUCGGGAGGAACACCGGUGGCGAAGGCGGCGACCUGGGUCGACACUGACGCUGAGGCGCGAAAGCGUGGGGAGCAAACAGG